rnacentral:rRNA from 1 species
AGUUCGGAUUGAAGGCUGAAAUUCGCCUUCAUGAAGUCGGAAUUGCUAGUAAUGGCAGGUCAGCAUACUGCCGUGAAUACGUUCCCGGGCCUUGUACACACCGCCCGUCACACCAUGGGAGUCGGUAACACCCGAAGCCUGUAGUCUAACCGCAAGGGGGACGCAGUCGAAGGUGGGAUUGAUGACUGGGGUGAAGUCGUAACAAGGUAAC